rnacentral:misc_RNA from 1 species
UCAGUAGUUAAGGCAGAUAUGAAUAAGAUGAUCCAGAAUCAGCUAGCUUCAACAAAGCAGUUUCUGAUGAAGAAGAAUUUAUGACCAUUUUUGUGCUCAAAAUCAUGGAGAAACUCGGGCACCUUGUCAUUACAGGAGCUCAUGGUCAGGAGGACCGUCCUCAGGGGAGCCUUGACAUAGUUUAGCAUUUAUCACCCACUAUUUUGUUUUCCGGUGGCAGCAAAAAAUCAACUUCAGAAGUUGAAAGAUUGUACUCUAACAAGACUCAGUUGAUCAGUCUGGAACAUCAUGACUUUUCAUUUUCCUUUUCAAUAGCAUAUUUAAGAGCCUUUUUACACCCGUUAGAGAAGAGAGUAUCAAGAUCCAGAUUGACGGGAUAAGCAAGACCAGCUAAUCUGGGCCGCCCAGGCAAAGUGUAGAAAUCAAAAACCCAAAACAACGGAAUGCCCAAUUCAUGAAGACCAAAAAGAAGUUCACCUACUGGAAUCGUACUCUGGGGCGCGUAAUCAGAGAGGGGCGUGGCAUGAUUGCAGGAACAUUCAGCUGUGACGAAGGCUGCUAAAUGUGAUUGAGGAUGGAGCUUAAAAUAUUUUAUAAAUGUUAAUGGAAUUUCAAUAUCACUUCUUGAAGUGGGUUCGAGGCAGUGGCGCUGCUGGAGGCGGUGCCAGUGCUGGUGGCGCGAAGAUAGAGUGAUGCCUAUGAGGCAAUAGACCAAUAGCAGGCUACCAGCCGCUAACAAGAAUGGACAUAAAGAUGGGCUUUGGUUUAGGGGCAAAUUCCGCUAGCCCUUGUGUAGUUGCGCGUUCGUUUAAGCCGAUUAUAACCAACUCCAAGGUCAGCAUAAUUAAUACUGUGUCGUCUUCAUGUAGCAAUGAAAGCAGCUAAAAAGGCUGAAAGGGUCAGCAGAGUUUGUGGCAAAAUCCAUAGAAUUAGCUAAUGAGAGGCGUGAGAAACUACCAAUAUUGGCCAUAUUGACAGCCGGCAGCUGCAGCUCAGUGAAACUUCGUUCGCUUUGUUGUGAAUUGGAUUGCUCUCUCGGGUCUUGAUUGGUAUUUAUUAAAAUUCAACUGCAUAUUAAAUAAAUUUCUUGUUUGUUUGCUUCCCAAUUCAAACAAUGAGUAAAUUUGUUUCCGUUGGUUAUUGUUACAAUCUAAUUUAAAUUUUUAAAUUAGUUGUAUGGGUUUUAGAAGUGAGACUUUUAGUACUGGCUUAGUUCAAGCGACGUUAAAAGGCUUUGCAAUCUAAUAUUAGCUUAGUGGGCUUACAUGCUUAUAUAUGCUAUUUUGUUAACUGGUUUAAUUUAAAUUCAAAAUUAUUGAAAACAUGCUCAUUGGAUACGUUAUUGUGAUGUGAAUGGUGCGGGAGGGUAUUGAAGCUGUCGCGGUGAGCCCACUCCAAUGGUUAAGUUAGGGUUUUCCAGAGGCAUUCGUGAAGAAAGGCACCUUCAAUCGUUGCAAAAUGUCAAUUAUCAAUGGCAGUCUCCAUCAGCUGUUUGUGUUCUUCAACAGGAAGAUCGGACGUACACAAACUCAUCUUGCUCUUUGCAAUCAUAUCAUCAAAUUUUUUACUAGUCCCCACCACCUUUAAAAAUAGCUCAAUUGGAAUAGCAUCCAUAGCUGCUUCAAUUGUAAGAAAGCUCAUGUGGGCCAGCAAUGGCUUCUGCUUUAACAGCUGUCCAUCUGAACCCCCCAUGAAUCUGAGUUUUUAUGACACCAUUCAGUAUAGCAAUUGAUUCCCUGAUCUUCAACUUGGAUGAAGCCUGAAUGUGAAUUUUGCGUGAGAGGAAAUCGGCCUAUCAUGAAUUUCACCAGGUAGUUCAGGAGGAAAACUUUGAAUGCACGGAUGCAGAACAAGUACAAUAGGAUCCCGCUGGUACAGUUUCUGACAGCAGGAAGCUUUAAUGCACACAUCCGCAAUGUCGUCGUUGAAGCUUGUUUAAUAUCCAGAAAGUAGUCUUCCUGUCCGUUGCUGUGUGCUUGUCCUUUGAUGCUCAAGACUCACAAGAGACAUUUAUGCUCUGUUGUUAUAAGGAAUUUAUGAUCCUACAGAUUCCCUCCCCCCACCACCCACCCCCCAAAAAAAAAAACAGCUUUUUUAGAAAAGAAAAUACAGAAAAAAAAAGAGUUGAUUUCUUGGCAAGCCUUCAAUAAAGUGAAUGAAAAAGAGCACCUGUAACCUUUCAUGUACCCUCUGUUCCCUCAAGGCAUCAUCAGUAGUUAAGGCAGAUUUGAAUAAGAUGAUCCAGAAUCAGG